rnacentral:lncRNA from 1 species
CCUCUUCUUACCACCAAUCAUAUCACAUUUUUCAAAUUUAACAAUAGGAAUUACAUUAAUUAUAAAGUAAAAGGGAGGUUUGGAUUUAUUAUUUAAUCAUGUAUUGCAACGUUACAUUCGAUAUCCACUAUAAGUAAAUCAAAUCGAUUGCGAACGGUUGCCCGCUAAACAACCACAGGCCAUCCAAGAUCACCUUGCC